rnacentral:lncRNA from 1 species
GGAACACUAUCAGGAGAACCCCCAUGAUCCAAUCACCUCCCAUCAGGUCCCUCCUCUGACACGUGGGGAUUACAAUUGGAGAUGAGAUUUGGACAGGGACACAGAGCCAAACCAAAUCACUUCAGACAAAAGUGAAGCAAAUUAAAGUCCAUCCCGCCAUCCUUCCAAAGAGCAAAGAAAGUCCAUGGAAAUUCAUCAACAUCCAGGAUGCUCAGGAGCUUCCAGGUUCAACAGAUGCGUGAGAUCCAUAGCAGAAACAUUGCUGUCCUCUUCAGAUUCAAGUACGGGUGAAAGUCAAGCUCUGGGAUACUGGAGCAGGGCUAUAUAAUUCUCUUUCCCUUGUAAUUUCAUUAAAAAAGAUUAAGGAAACCCUUGAAAAGUUGUAGAUACCUAAAAUUUUGGCCGUGCAUUGAUCAUCCACAAAAAGUGAAAGAUCACAAGUGAUCAAGCCACAUGUGUGAAAAAUCUCAAAUACACUUUGGGAGGCCGAGGCGGGCCGAUCAUAAGGUCAGGAGAUCGACACCAUCCUGGCUAACAGGGUGAAACCCCGUCUCUACUAAAAAUACAAAAAAUUAGCUGGGCAUGGUGGUGGGCACCUGUAGUCCCAGCUACUGGGAAGACUGAGGCAGAAGAAUGGCGUGAACCCGGGAGGCGAAGCUUGCAGUGAGCCGAGAUCGCACCACUGCACUCUAGCCUGGGCAACAGAGCGAGACUCCAUCUCAAAAAAAAAAAAAAAAAAAAAAAGAAAGAAAACUCUCAAAUAACUCUUGAUUCAAAUAGUCAACAUAACUCCUGGAGGAAAAAAAAAAGCAUUUCUACAUUGAGAGAGACAUUGCUAUAGUCCCC